rnacentral:sRNA from 1 species
GGGCUGGACUGUGCUGCUGACCAACCUGAGAACCUGGCAGAAGGUACCCUGGUUAUUGUGGUAUUGAUGCCACCUGAACAACUGCUCCAGGAUGCUCGCAGCUUCUUGCGGGCACUGGGUACCCUGCUGCACACCAACCUGCGCAUUAAGCGGGACUCCCAGGGGGAACUCAUGGUGUACCCCUAUUAUGGUGAGAAGUCAGCUGCUAUGAAGAAACAGAGGAUGACACGCAGGUCCCUUCCUGGUGAACAAGAACAGGAGGUGGCUGGCUCUAAAGUCUUUCUGGAAAUUGACAACCGCCAGUGUGUUCAAGACUCAGACCACUGCUUCAAGAACACGGAUGCAGCAGCAGCUCUCCUGGCCUCUCACGCCAUACAGGGGACCCUGUCAUACCCUCUUGUGUCUGUCGUCAGUGAGUGGCACUGGUGUAAAGGGGAAAGGUGGCGGGGGGAGAGUGUCAAUUGGGGGAACAAUUUUCAUUAUGUAGCCCUCUAUUUUUUCAGGACUGUUGAGGUCAAAGUUGCCCUCUAAAUGAAUCUAAUGCUGACAUUGA